rnacentral:rRNA from 1 species
GACGCUGGCGGCGUGCCUAACACAUGCAAGCCGUGCGAGAAAGUUCCUUCGGGAGCGAGUAAAGCGGCGCACGGGUGAGUAACACGUAGGUAACCUGCCCCCCAGUCUGGAACAACUAGAGGAAACUCUAGCUAAUGCCGGAUGAGACCACGAUCCCUUCGGGGGGUUGCGGCCAAAGAUGGCCUCUACUUGUAAGCUAUCGCUGAGGGAUGGGCCUGCGGGCCAUUAGCUUGUUGGUGAGGUAACGGCUCACCAAGGCUGUGAUGGCUAGCUGGUCUGAGAGGAUGACCAGCCACACUGGGACUGAGACACGGCCCAGACUCCUACGGGAGGCAGCAGUGGGGAAUAUUGCGCGAUGGGCGAAAGCCUGACGCAGCGACGCCGCGUGGGUGAUGAAGGCCUUCGGGUCGUAAAGCCCUGUCGCAGGGGAAGAAUAAGCAUCGGUAUAAUACGCCGGUGCCCUGACGGUACCCUGCAAGAAAGCACCGGCUAACUCCGUG